UACGUAGGGCGCAAGCGUUGUCCGGAAUUAUUGGGCGUAAAGAGCUCGUAGGCGGCUUGUCACGUCGGGUGUGAAAGCCCGGGGCUUAACCCCGGGUCUGCAUUCGAUACGGGCUAGCUAGAGUGUGGUAGGGGAGAUCGGAAUUCCUGGUGUAGCGGUGAAAUGCGCAGAUAUCGGGAGGAACACCGGUGGCGAAGGCGGGUCUCUGGGCCGGAACUGACGCUGAGGAGCGAAAGCGUGGGGAGCGAACAGG
rnacentral:rRNA from 1 species